CAUUAUACGAACUAAAUAGGUCCCGUGCACGUCGCUAGCCGGACCACGUCGAUAACAUUUUCCGUUUUUUUUUAUCGAAUUCCCAAAUUUUUUGAUUUACUUAUGAAUUGAUCGUAUGCGUUAUUGAAUUUCUCGUAAUGUUCAUUUAUGACAUUGCUACUUUUUUUCGAAAAUUAUUCGUAAAUUAGAAUUUACACGGAAACUGCAAGGCUUUGUUAUAAUGAUGUUUUCGGAUUGAAAACGUUCCGCGACACGCUUUGCCGUUGGCAACUUCCAUGGUGAUUUCCACAAGAUACCACCCCAUGUUCCAAAUACAUUAAUACCGGGUCCCCAAUAGAUUAACUGUAGUGUUGCUAUCGUCCAUCGUUAUCCUUAUCCCCUCACCUCUUCUAGUAGUGGCUAGUGGAAACUGUUUGGGUUGUGAAAAAAAAACGCUAUAUUUGAACAUAAAGAUUUUUUUAUUAGCGUGUUCUUCGUUUUCACAAAGGCCACUUUUGCGGGAUGGGAAUGGCAUCUAAAAGGAAAAAAAACAAUGAGUAGUGAAGGUCCAGUUAAGAUUGUAGGAAUUAACCAUGGAGUAUGUCUGCAUCAUUUCUUGUUGAUGGAUGGAUGGAAGGAAAAAAGAACAAUUCACUGAUGUUACAUUUUUUUGCCAGUCUCCAGAUGACAAUAAUGAACAACACAGCUUA